rnacentral:sRNA from 1 species
AGGUCGAGUAUCCUAACGGGCUUUUCGACCCCAGUCCAUUAAACUUAGAGGAGUGCUACAGUGGCCCGUAUCGCUGGCAUUAACAUUCCUGAU